UGAGAAGCUAGUGUAGAAGCCUAGCAGUUGUAAUUAUGCUGCUGGUCCUGAGGCUGGCCUAGAGUUGGCAACAAGAAGUCAUUUAAUUCCAUCAAUUUGUCCCCCCUUCUUUCCAAAAAACAUUCAUUGACGUCCUCUGGGAGUGAGUGAUGGUACUAGACAUUGAACAUACGAAGUUGAAAUUGACUAAGAUACACAGAUUCAUUACCUCAAAACCCCCAUACCAAUCAUCUAGGGACACAUGGAAUGAAUUAAAGAAAAAAAAAAAAAGAAGAAAAAAUUUCAGUUUUACUCAAAAGUAUCCAAUCUUGAAUCUCUUAGUCAAAACUAAGGAGAAUCUACGUUAAUAUGAAAAGUAAAUGAAAUCCAGCCAAGAUAAUCAAGAAAAAAAUCCACUAUAAACAAAAUCAAAGAACAAGUGAUAUACUGGGAGAAAAUAUUUUUGCAACAUAUGCCACAGACAAAGGACGCGUGGCAUAUAUAGAAACAACCAACCAACCAUCAAGAGUACAAGAAGCUAACAUUCAGUGGAAACCUACUCUGGCUAGCUUCAGGGUAUCUCUCCAAUUUCCAAUCCCAUCCUGAUCAUGGUCCUCAUGGAUGCCUCCUGAUGCCAGAUGAAAUCAAUCACAUGAAAUAAACAAAAUGCCUACAGAAUGAUGUCAAUGGCACCACUCAUCAGAUAGCAAGCUGCAUUAUGAAGUAACAGAUGAGGUCUUUCCGGCCUUGAAUGCCUUCUGCUCAACCUUUGUCUGCACUUUAAGAGCAACUUCAGUCUUCAUCUCAGUCAGGAUGCCCUCCAUGUCAACAGCAUACGGUGACUAGUUAAGGGGUAGACAUGCGCCACCUGGCUCAGCCUUGAGAAUUUUGCUUGAGUUGCUGAGACAAAGAUAUGUGCUUUCCGCUGGGAUAUAACUGUGGUAGAAUAAAGGAAAGACUCCCAAAAGCCUCCUUUGCAACCCCAGUGAAGAAUCUAAUGGAGGGUUGAAGCCAACACAGAGAAAACCAAGUCCAGGGAUGGUGAGAGACUGUGUGCGCCCCUGGAUCCAGGUACUGAAUGCUGGCUAGGUCCAUCCCUGGACUUUUCAGGGGGUGAGGGAUGAGGAAGGAGCAGACUGUGAUGACUAUCACCAUUUGAGUUUUAUUCUGCUAUAUGCCACUUUUCUAUCAAGUAACCCGAGGAAACACCUUAUAGGAAUAGCUCUCAAGACGUGGUUCCUGGGCCAGCAGCACCUGGCAGCUCGUUAGAGAUGGUCAAUGCUGGAGCAUGGGGAAGGCAAAUUGGAUUGAACCUCUUCACAGGACCUGCUUCCUGAGGUCUUCUCGCCAGCAGCCUGCAGUGUGGGCUUUCUGAGAACAGGGGGCAUGAGGAAACGCCACAGCCCUGGAGACGUUCUCUGCCUGCAGGGAUAGAGACAUGGGCCAUCUUUUCGAUGAAGUCACAUAUGAUCUCAGCUAAGGAGGAGCAUAAGGAGGAGAUACUGCUGUACGUAAUGAAGACCUAAGAAGAUGCUCAGUUUUUCUCUGUGGGUUGUUGCUUCACUGCAUCGACUUAUCCCCUAUGGCUGUGAAAGGCGGCCCAGGAAGCACCCAUCCUGUUGCCUCUGGACUGCCACCAAACUGCCAGCCAUGGGCUUCAUACUUUACAAUAGGAGAAGUGCUAUCUUUUAAAAUGAGGUUUUUAUAAUUUACUUGUAAAAAUAAAUAUUCAGGCCUUACAAAAUGAUUUUUUUAAAAAAAAAUUGGGCUUGAUUUUACUCCCCUGAAUCCAACCACACAGCCCAAAUACUUUGUAAACUGUAAGUAGCUAAAAUGGGGUUCUUCUUAAAAUUCACAUAGUAUGGAGAUUCUUCCAUUCAGUGGGUUUGAAGUAAUGGCCAGGAAUAUGAAUGUUUAAUAAAUACCUCGUCUAAUUGUGUCAGUGAUCAUCAUAAACGGACCUUGCUUUGAGUAAUCCUGUUCAGGUGCUCCUUCUCCUAGCUGCUAUACUGAACACUGGGGGUGGGAGAAAGAGGAAAAAGGGAGAUAAAUGGAGAAAUGGGAUGGAAGGGGGGAAAACUGCAGCUUUAAUCUUCAAAAAAAGAGUUUUUUUCUGCUUUCCCUUCCCAUCUUCCAGCACUGAUAAGAAUACCUCAAACUGAAAGUCAGAUUUCAUCUUUCAUUAAGAAUUCCUAGCUGCUGGAAAGCUAUAAGGCUCUAAGAGCCCUUCAGUGACUCAAGUAGAAAUACUUCUAAAGGGCUAAAGUAAGAGUCGAAGUCUGAGCCGUGUCCCCGAAAUCUCCCUGAAAUGGGCUUCUAUUCAAAUGAAUUACAAUACAAUUUACUCUCUCCUCAUUAUUCUCCUUGCAAAAAGCUGCUGAAACACCAUAAGGAAAAAAUUAUAUAUUAUAUUCUCAGAGAACGGUCAUCCCAAUCAUUUCAAAAUGCAAAUGAUUAUAGAAAUUUGGAGCAGUGGCAAUAAUCACAAAUCCCCACUGACAGCAUAGUCAUUGAAAAAAUCAUUGGAGUGAGCUACCCCUUAAAGGGUUUUAACUUGCAAUCAAGUCAAGUGCUAUUCCAGUGAAGCAAGCAGUUGUUUGAAGGACGGAAGUUCAACCCAAAGUGGGAAAGCAACAUAAUAAGGGUGCCAUGAAAAAUAUCCAAUAGUCUAACAUGCAAAGCCGAUCUAUCAAGUUUUGCAAGUUACCAAAUUAGGUCAGCCCUGGUGAAUGUCCUUCAGGUAGUCUUGCUCAAACAAGCAAAUUAGACCCUUUUAAUGAAAUAUAAUACUGAACAAAGGAAGUAAUCCUCCAAUCUUAACAACACUCUACUUACUUUCCACUAUAUAUUUAACAUUUACUGAGCACCUGUUGCAUGCAAGCUCCAUGCUGUGAGGUUGGAAAUGGGAGGGUGUAUAAUUAAUAAGACAUGAUGCGAUACCCUCAAAGGAACUCACAAUCCAAUAGGGAUCUAGCUGUGAGUAAAUCAUUCCCAGACAGGAACAGAAGGCGUAUGGAAGAUUCAAUUCUCAAGGAUUCUGCUCUCAAGCAAUGAGAGUGAGGAGAGAAAAGGAAGAGACAUUUCUUUAGAGUUUCCUCCAUGCCUGGCACCGUGCUAAGUUCUGUGCAUUUGUAUUUAUUGUUGGUCAAAUACAUGCCUAUUUUUCCACCACAUCCUAGAAGCAGACUGUCUUCCCGGGUCAGAAGCUUAGUCAUGCGCUGAUUGGGCUGAACAGGUUUAAAACUCAUCCUCUUUGUGGAUGGCGAAAGCACUAGUUUCUAGACUGCAAAAAAUAUAUUCCAACAAUGUAUUUUUGUCACCCACUCUAAAUCACUAAGCAACAAAGCUGCUAAUGAAACAGUAGGUAGCUUGUCUUUUUCCUCACUCAUGAUAGUCAAGGAAGGUUUUCUGUUUCUCCAUGCUUUCUCUGUGCUCCCUCUGGAUAUGGGCAUCUUGGAAACAGACCAGUUCUCCGUGUCCUUUCUCCAAAGUACAAAACUGGGUACACUGAGCACAGAGCUGUGGGGUUUUCUCAGUUGCUCCUGAUACCUCCCAGAUAUGAUGUUGCUAUUUUUGAAACCUUGAGGGCUUGAGCUGCAAAAUCCCAGGUCUUG
rnacentral:lncRNA from 1 species